GCAUUGGUGAUUCCGUGGUAGAAUUCUUGCUUUCUGUGUGUGAGAUCUGGGUUCAAUUCCUGGCCAAUGCA
rnacentral:tRNA from 1 species